rnacentral:rRNA from 1 species
UACGGAGGGGCUAGCGUUGUUCGGAAUUACUGGGCGUAAAGCGCGCGUAGGCGGCUUUGUAAGUUAGAGGUGAAAGCCCGGAGCUCAACUUCGGAAUUGCCUUUAAGACUGCAUCGCUUGAAUCAUGGAGAGGUCAGUGGAAUUCCGAGUGUAGAGGUGAAAUUCGUAGAUAUUCGGAAGAACACCAGUGGCGAAGGCGACUGACUGGACAUGUAUUGACGCUGAGGUGCGAAAGCGUGGGGAGCAAACAGGG